rnacentral:lncRNA from 1 species
AUCGGAAGCAGGCUCCAGGCUCUGAGCUGUCAGCACAGAGCCCGACGUGGGGCUCGAACCCAGGAACCGCGAGAUCAUGACCCGAGCCGAAGUGGGACACUUAACCAACUGAGCCAGCCAGGCGCCCCCAGAUUUGACUUUUAAAUACCAGACAAAGGAAUCAGGCUUCUUGGAGAAACGGCAGAUCCCAGGGCAGGAGCAGGAAAAGCACGAGAUAAGCCUCGACCACCUCCUUGUGUCAGAAAGUAAGCAGGUGGCCAAGGACAGAUGGAGGGAUGUGACACGGAUGCAAAAGCCAGCCUGAAACGCUGCCCAGCAGCCAAAUCUGGGACAAUCCGACACCGAAAGAGGUAAUGAUGGCACCAGAUUGUACAAAACGUUGAGUGAAACAGGAAUCCAUGGGUCCAUACAGACAGAAAUAAACAUGUGGACCAAUAAAUAGGGACAGGAGAAAGCAGAAUUGGGAGCUAAUCCUAAGCAGUCGUCAGACAAACCCACCUGAAGAGAUAUUCUACCAAAGAUCUGGCUUGUAGUCUUAAAUUUUUUUUUUUACAUUUUUAUUUAUUUUUGAGAGGCAGAGAGAGACAGAGUGUGAGUGGGGGGAGGGCCACAGAGAGAGGGAGACACAGAAUCCGAAGCAGGCUCCAGGCUCUGAGCUGUCAGCACAGAGCCCGACGCGGGCCUCGAACCCCCGAACCGUGAGAUCACGACCUGAGCCGAAGUUGGACACCCAACCAACUGAGCUGCUCAGGCGCCCUCUGACCUGUAGUCUUAAAGAGAGACUACUGCCGAUUGGAGGAGACAAAAGAGAUGUGGCAACUAAGUGCAACGUGUGAUUCUGAACUUUGUCCUUUCACUGUGCAGCGUGGAGCUGGGACAACUGGCAAAACCCGACGAAGAUGGAGAGAUGAGAUGGUCGCACCCGGUGAACCAGGCCAGUCACAGAGGACAAGCACGGUAUGGCUCCACUUAUACGAGGUUGUGGGGGGUGGGGUGGGGGCCUGGAACUUCCUGUAGAGACAGGAAGUAGCCGGUGGUCACAGGGGCGGGGGUGGGGUGGGGAGGAGGAAUGUGGAGUUGGUGGGGACAGAGUUUCAGCUUGGGAAGAUGGACAAGUUCUGGAGAUGGAUGGUGGUGGUGGUGGUUGUGGAACAAUGUGAAUGAACCUGAUCUUACUGAACGGGACACUUAAAGAUGGUUCAGAUGGUAAAUUUUAUGUCAUGUGUAUUUUCCUGCAACACAAAUGGGGAAAGCAGCUGGGUUUUGGAAGUGAACAGAGCAGGGUUGGACUCUCACCUCUGACACUGGUCGCUGGAUGACCUCGGGUGACCUCGGGGGUGGCUGUUAGUGGCCUGCCUGUGGCAAGCGCUCAGAACAGGCUACCUCCUCUUAACUGGUCAUUGCGCGUCUUUGACUCUAACUGCAAGGUGGCUGGUUGGAUUUUGCCCAUCGCCUCCACCCCCAGACCCAUAUGUACAACCUGCCGGCCACUCAGAGCUCCUAAGCCUGCUACCAGUCUUCUCUCCAGGAACCUCUCCUGGGGACAGUUAGAGGGGCGGAGCGUGUCCCAGCCAAAGACACAGGUAGGACCUUACAUGCUUGUGUAUGCACCUGCCGUCUCUGGAGGGGAAGUAUGGACCUGGGAGGGACACGGGUGGGGAGCUUCUCCCUGUGAAACCCGUUCAUGCCCCUGGAAUGUCUUCCCACAAGCUGCGUCUGUGUAAAUCACAUAAAUAAAUACACAAGUCAGUCAUUACCGAAGAGGGGCCCCCGUUCCCUCCUCCCUUUCCCUCGUCCCUCUCCUCAAGGCACUGCCAUCUUACAUUAGCCCCUAGCUCUCCAGCCAAAACUGCUGCGGCCCUCGUUGAGGAAUUCGGUGGAUGUCUCCCUCUUUCUCCCUCUUCCUGUCAGCUCCGUGGCACUUUGAAACACCACUUUCCUCGGCUUCUGGAAAACCAGCGAAAUCUAUUCACGAUGGGGAAGGGCCAUGCCUUUGCAGUCACCGUUGGAACUCCUAUGGCAAAGGGCACUGCCUGG